UUGAGGGAUAAAAAGUUCUACUCGGGCUGUUAUAAAAGAAAAAAGAAAAAACUAUAGGCAGAAACAGCGUGAGAAGUAAUUUGGUGUGAUGUCUUUCAGGCUGCACUGGGAGUGCUAAUUUUAGGAGAUGGUAAAUAUCUGCUCUGGGGGCGGAAAUAAAGGUUCUUAGACCAAGUGAAAUUGGGAAGGCUGAUCACUGUUUGCUGCCGGAGAGCUGUGCAUGCCUGUCCUAGGCGUGGCCCAGAGAACGCCUCCAGGAAAUAAAGUUACAGAUUUGUUUAGUUCAGGUUUUAUCACACUGAUUUUACAGGUGAGAGAACUGGUAAGUAACUGCGCCGGGCUGUGUGGCUCCUAAGUGUCAGAGUUAAGAGAAAAAUUCUGGACUCGUCCUUCCUCGCCCAGAGCCGAUGUCUCUUGCCGGGCAGCAUCUCUCUCCGGAGGCGGAGCCAGCAUUGAUGGCAAGAGCAUGUCAGUCCUUUUGGCCUUAAAACUGCAAAUGUUGAGUCACUAGAUUUCCUUGGACAGUUAAGGGAAACGUUACCAUUUUAACGUCGCGGAAAGGUCAGAGAUGCAGGGCCUCGUGACAGCACAGCUCAGGAGCUGCCCACAUAGACGGGACACACAGGCUGCACUCUUACUGCUCUUGGCCCUGUCCUUUCUCCCUGGCUAUGGUGUUGCGUGUUCUUAGUGUGUUCUGUGAGCCCAUCGAGUUCUCUGCGUGCGUGUGUUACGGCUUUAGGCUCCCGGACGGUGGCUGCCUGCCUACCUGCCUGUCUGCCUGUGAAUUGCAGGAACGUGGAGGCUAAUUUGCUUUUCUUGAAGUGUCCUCAUUAGUGCUGUUCUGGCCGUGAAUGUGUGGGAUGGAUGUCAGGCCAGAUGCCAGGUGACUGCCCCAGCCUUCCGAAGGGCCAGUGAGAGAAAGGGAUGGGGACUGAUUGUGUAUGGGCAGCUGGCGGUGCGGCCUGGGCCGCCACGGCCACAGCCAGUGGGCAGAAGGGACGGUUGAGAUUCAUCCGGGGUGUUGGGACCGCGUUGGCCUCUGAGCUCCACCAGGUAGCAGGUGAGAACUGUCCGUCGAUGUGCACGAUGCGGGAGGAGUUUCCGGGGUCUCAGGGGCCUUUCUUAGCUCACGCUUCCAGACAGGCGCAUUGACUGUGGCAGAGAGAAAACUGUAACCCGUGCUCCUCUCUCCGGGACUGGGGGUUGAUGUGUCCGUGGGAGCGCACUUGGCCCUCGGGCCUGGAGAGAGAGCCCCAUCCGAACGCUGUUGCUGUUGAGACAGUUACUUGUUUCGGACACUUGAGCCUGUCAGGUGUUUUUCUUCAGAAUUGGAUGUGUUUUGUUCAGAACUAACCCUAACUUGGCUUCUUUCAUUCCAUCAUUUCAAAAACAUUACAAUAAAAUGGAAUUUCUAAAACAUGUGAUGUAUUGAUUUUUUUAUCUGUCAUAAUUGAAGGCCAGUUUUUAUGCCAUUAACAGUAACUGAACAGUGUUUUUGUUUUUUUUUUUAAUCUCUGAAGUGACGGUUUUUUGUUGGAGCGUAAACUGGACUUCGUGGCCGUGAUUUCUUUUCCUUUGUAAUGAGUAAUUAGUGUAGCUGAAGGGUAUGAAGGUCUGUAAGGUACGGAAGCGGGCACGUGGCCCACGGCUGGUAAACGUGGAUAUUCAUCCAGCCAGUGCGCUUGGUGAAGUCUGCAGGGGAAUGAAGGCAUGUUGGGGACAAGUGUCAGAAAUCUCAAAAACAGCUCUACAAUUUAGAAACAAUUGGAGAGCAUCCCUCUGUUAAAUUCAUGUUACUUGGGUGUAUUUAGGGAAGUAGUGUGUCAGGGCCCCCGCCCCCCAAAAGUGGUACAGCAGUUUGUGUGUAAUCUUGGGGCCGGCAGGGCUGGGGCUGCCCCGUGCACCGCUCCCCGGCUGCUCCGGCAGUCCCCAGGCUCCUCUGCAAAGGGAUUCCCCAGGGACUGAGGGGGUGCCCCCCCCUUCCCCCCCCGCCCCGGAGUGGAGGCCACAUAUGGGCGAGAACCCCUCCCCUCCCCAGCCUGAAACCCUGGCUCACGUCGGUCCUCUCUUUGUCGAGAGCUGCCCGACCUUACAGGUUAUCGUGAGGGUCAAGGGAACAGAAGUAGAGCGAACCCUGAGGAUGUGAAGCUCGCUUGGGUUGUAAUUGGUCAUUGCUUGGUUGCGUGAGUCAGUCACGCUAUUAGAAGUCAUAGACCAAAUCAUCUAUACUUGCGUAAAUGGAAGAAUCCUGAUUCGCUUGGUUCCCGGGCACUGUUUCGUCCAAACAAGGCCGUGUGAAGUUGUAUCGCGCUCGCUCCUUUCUGUCCCUGAGAAAACUGAGAAUAGGUGUCAGCCAGGAGAACGUUAAUGGAGGUGUUUGCUGUCUCCAGAUACAUAGAUCAAGGACGAAACCCCCAACUCUACACCAAAGAGUGCCUGGAGAGGGCCCUGGCCAGGAAUGAACAGGUGAAAGGCAAGAUCGACACCAUGAAGAAAUUUAAAAGCCUGUUGAUUCAAGAACUUUCUAAAGUAUUCCCUGAAGACAUGGCUAAGUAUCGAAGCAUCCGAGGGGAGGACCACCCCCCUUCCUAACUUCACCGCCCUGCUUUCUGAAGACCCUCCUGGUCUUGCGUGAGUCGCUGUGACCUUCAGGCAGGCUGGGACUGACCGCGGCACCAGUGCGGCUUUCCCGGGCCCGUCCUCCAGCCACCCUGUCCUCGUCCUUGGCCCUGGGGGACGGUGGGGCCCGGAGGGCCGGCAGAGCUGUGCUCCCGGCUGCCCCUCUGUCCCCGAUGUGCGUCUGUUCGGUCCCUGAGCUUUCACAUGGCUGGGGAUCGUGAGUGCGAUGCAUUUAAUUGUCCACAGCAGAGUAGUCUUGGGAAUACUCGCUAUAAUAGUUAAAUUAAGUUUUUAAAAAUCCACCUGUUGGUUUUCUUUUUAUGUGCUGUUUCUUUUCCAUUUUACCAUGGUUUCACACCUUAAAACAAAGAAAAAUUGCUUUUAUUUGAGCAAUACUUUGAGUCAGUUUUGUGUUUUAUGUUUUCAGUUAUGGUGCAUAAAGAAUGUGUUCAGUGUGACUGUCCAUGGAUUUCGAUUAGACGUAAGCACAUAAUAAAGCCUUUAAGUAUUU